AUUGAACGCUGGCGGCAGGCCUAACACAUGCACGUCGAACGAGUUGCGGACGGGUGAGUAAUGUCUGGGCAACUGACUGAUGGAGGGGGAUAACUCCUGGAAACGGUAGCUCAUACCGCAUACCAUCAGAGUUGCCCAGAUGGGAGUAGCUUGUUGGUGGGUUAACGGCUCACCAAGGCGCCUAUCCCUAGCGGGUCGGAGAGGAUGCCCCGCCACACUGGAACUGAGACACGGUCCAGACUCCGACGGGAGGCAGCAGUGGGGAAUAUUGCACAAUGGGCGCAAGCCUGAUGCAGCCAUGCCGCGUGUAUGAAGAAGGCCUUCGGGUUGUAAAGUACUUUCAGCUGGGAGGCGUUACCCGCAGAAGAAGCACCGGCUAACUCCGUGCCAGCAGCCGCGGUAAUUC
rnacentral:rRNA from 1 species